rnacentral:misc_RNA from 1 species
UGCUUGGUCAAGGUCGGUUUGCACAA